AUUGAACGCUGGCGGCAGGCCUAACACAUGCAAGUCGAGCGAGCGGCGGACGGGUGAGUAAUGUAUGGGGACUGCCCGAUAGAGGGGGAUAACUACUGGAAACGGUAGCUAAUACCGCAUACUAUCGGAUAACCCAUAUGGGAUUAGAUAGUUGGUGAGGUAAUGGGUCACCAAGGCGACGAUCCCUAGCUGGUCUGAGAGGAUGAUCAGCCAGACUGGGACUGAGACGCGGCCCGGAGUCCUACGGAGGCAGAAGUGGGGAAUAGUGAACAAUGGGCGCAAGCCUGAUGCAGCCAUGCCGCGUGGAGGAAGAAGGCCUUCGGGUGGUAAAGUACUUUCAGUCGGGAGGCGUUACCGACAGAAGAAGCACCGGCUAACUCCGUGCCAGCAGCCGCGGUAAUAC
rnacentral:rRNA from 1 species